UACGUAGGGUGCAAGCGUUAUCCGGAAUUAUUGGGCGUAAAGAGCGUGUAGGCGGCCACACAGGUCUGCUGUGAAAACUCGAGGCUCAACCUCGAGCUGUCGGUGGAAACCGUGUGGCUAGAGUCCGGAAGAGGAGAGUGGAAUUCCCGGUGUAGCGGUGAAAUGCGCAGAUAUCGGGAAGAACACCCGUGGCGAAGGCGGUCUGCUGGGGUCGAACUGACGCUGAGGCGCGACAGCGUGGGGAGCAAACAGG
rnacentral:rRNA from 1 species